AGGUGAUCUGACUGUAACAUCUGUCACCCCAUCGAUCUUCAGGGUUGUUUCGGCUGAUCUGGUUGACUAGGCAGGUGUCCCCUUCCUUCCCUCCCAAAGCUGCAGACUUGGUGGAAAAGGAUGACUUACCUCACAGAGGAGGAACAUUCUUCAGUCAAGGGUAUGUGAGUAGCUGCAUUCCAUUGCUAGAACCUCCAAACAAGCUCUCAGUGUCCAUUUGUAGGAGAAUGUAGGGUAGUCAGGUUUCUAAGGCUCCAGACACAUCCAAGUGAGGUGCUGCAUGCCACGGUCCGCCUUUCAAG
rfam:Ailuropoda melanoleuca scaffold728_50, whole genome shotgun sequence.